rnacentral:rRNA from 1 species
GGCCUACGGGGGGCAGCAGUGAGGAAUAUUGGUCAAUGGACACAAGUCUGAACCAGCCAUGCCGCGUGCAGGAUGACGGCUCUAUGAGUUGUAAACUGCUUUUGUACGAGGGUAAACCCCGAUACGUGUAUCGGGUUGAAAGUAUCGUACGAAUAAGGAUCGGCUAACUCCGUGCCAGCAGCCGCGGUAAUACGGAGGAUGCGAGCGUUAUCCGGAUUUAUUGGGUUUAAAGGGUGCGUAGGCGGGCAUUUAAGCCGGCGGUCAAAUGUCGGGGCUCAACCCCGGCCUGCCGUCGGAACUGGGGG